GACGAACGCUGGCGGCGUGCCUAAUACAUGCAAGUUGAGCGCUGAAGGUUGGUACUUGUACCGACUGGAUGAGCAGCGAACGGGUGAGUAACGCGUGGGUAAUCUGCCUUUGAGCGGGGGACAACAUUUGGAAACGAAUGCUAAUACCGCAUAAAAACUUUAAACACAAGUUUUAAGUUUGAAAGAUGCAAUUGCAUCACUCAAAGAUGAUCCCGCGUUGUAUUAGCUAGUUGGUGAGGUAAAGGCUCACCAAGGCGAUGAUACAUAGCCGACCUGAGAGGGGGAUCGGCCACAUUGGGACUGAGACACGGCCCAAACUACUACGGGAGGCAGCAGUAGGGAAUCUUCGGCAAUGGACGAAAGUCUGACCGAGCAACGCCGCGUGAGUGAAGAAGGGUUUCGGAUCGUAAAACUCGGUUGGUAGAGAAGAACGUUGGUGAGAGUGGAAAGCUCAUCAAGUGACGGUAACUACCCAGAAAGGGACGGCUAACUACGUG
rnacentral:rRNA from 1 species